rnacentral:rRNA from 1 species
AACUGUGGCUGUGCAACCCUGAACGUGCCUGAUCUCUUCUGAUCUCAGAAGCUAAGCAGGGUCAGGCCUGUUUAGUACUUGGAUGGGAGACCAUCUAGGAAUACCAGGUGCUUUAAGUG